rnacentral:rRNA from 1 species
GAGGCGAACCGGGGGAACUGAAACAUCUAAGUACCCCGAGGAAAAGAAAUCAACCGAGAUUCCGAAAGUAGCGGCGAGCGAAAUUGGACUAGCCCUUAAGCUUUACACGCGUUAGACGAACGGUCUGGAAAGUCCGACGAUACAGGGUGAUAGUCCCGUAGUUGACGAUGUGUGUUCAGUGAAAUCGAGUAGGGCGGGACACGUGAUAUCCUGUCUGAAUAUGGGGGGACCAUCCUCCAAGGCUAAAUACUACUGACUGACCGAUAGUGUCCUGUGACUGCGUACCUUUUGUAUAAUGGGUCAGCGACUUAUAUUCAGUGGCAAGGUUAACCAUCUAGGGGAGCCGUAGGGAAACCGAGUCUUAACUGGGCGUUCAGUCUCUGGAUAUAGACCCGAAACCAGGUGAUCUAGCCAUGGGCAGGUUGAAGGUUGAGUAACAUCAACUGGAGGACCGAACCGACUAAUGUUGAAAAAUUAGCGGAUGACUUGUGGCUAGGGGUGAAAGGCCAAUCAAACCUGGAGAUAGCUGGUUCUCCCCGAAAGCUAUUUAGGUAGCGCCUCGGACGAAUACUACUGGGGGUAGAGCACUGUUAAGGCUAGGGGGUCAUCCCGACUUACCAACCCUUUGCAAACUCCGAAUACCAGUAAGUACUAUCCGGGAGACACACGGCGGGUGCUAACGUCCGUCGUGGAGAGGGAAACAACCCAGACCGCCAGCUAAGGUCCCAAAUUACUACUAAGUGGGAAACGAUGUGGGAAGGCUCAGACAGCCAGGAUGUUGGCUUAGAAGCAGCCAUCAUUUAAAGAAAGCGUAAUAGCUCACUGGUCGAGUCGGCCUGCGCGGAAGAUGUAACGGGGCUAAGUAGUAAACCG